GACGAACGCUGGCGGCGUGCCUAAAACAUGCAAGUCGAACGCGAGGGCCCUUCGGGGCCUGGGAGUGGCGAACGGCGGAGUAAUACGUAAGCAACGUGCCCUAAAGCUCGGGAUAUACCGGGGAAGCCCGGGGCAAUACCGGAUGUGGUCGGAGCCCGGCAUCGGGAGCCGAUUAAAUGGUUUUUCGCUUUAGGAGCGGUUUACGGCCUAUCAGCUAGUUGGUGGGGUAACGGCCUACCAAGGCAUCGACGGGUAACUGGUCUGAGAGGACGACCAGUCCGAGUGGGACUGAGACACGGCCCACACACCUACGGGUGGCAGCAGUUGGGAAUCUUGCACAAUGGGGGCAACCCUGAUGCAGCGACGCCGCGUGGAGGACGAAGGAUCUAGGUCUGUAAACUCCUUUUGCCAGGAAAGACUUAGGACGGUACCUGGCGAAUAAGCUCCGGCUAACUACGUGCCAGCAGCCGCGGUAAUACGUAGGGAGCAAGCGUUGUCCGGAUUUACUGGGCGUAAAGGGCGCGUAGGCGGCCUGCC
rnacentral:rRNA from 1 species